GUGGGAGUGCUCCGAUAAAAAUAUAUAACAGCGGGAAUACCUGUACAGAACAAAACAUUGGUUUCUUUCCCCCUGACUUAUAUUCCCUAUCAAAAAAUGUUCGUUGUUAAAAUAAAGUACUGCAAAGAACUUCUGAAGGAUUUGCCUUCAACUGCAAUUAUAUUGUAUGCUGAAGGUCAUAACCGCUGCAGGUUUGUGCCUGUCCUGAUUGAUUCAGGGACCUGUUGUUCAGCAGUUAUCGUUUGUUGUUGGGUACUUUCCCGUUUGGAAAUAUAAAUUAGAUCGUUGGUUUUCCUGUUCGAAUUGUGUACAAUACUAAGUUGUGGUCCCUUAUAGCUUGUUGUUUGGUCUGGAUCAAAGCUCUGUGUAAAAGGACGUACUUUGACCUAUGUUUGUUAUUAUCAGGUUAUCCCUCAGACAAGGGCCUUGAAGGGGCAUUUUACCAUGUUUACUGUUGUAGAAAAGAAAAUAGAAAUACUAAGGAUUUGUAUAGUGCUACUAUACAAAACCUUUGAAAACUUAGAAUUUUUUAC
rnacentral:lncRNA from 1 species